CCUACGGGAGGCAGCAGUGGGGAAUAUUGGACAAUGGGGGCAACCCUGAUCCAGCCAUGCCGCGUGUGUGAAGAAGGCCCUCGGGUUGUAAAGCACUUUCAGCGAGGAAGAACGCCUAGCGGUUAAUACCCGCUAGGAAAGACAUCACUCGCAGAAGAAGCACCGGCUAACCCCGUGCCAGCAGCCGCGGUAAUACGGAGGGUGCAAGCGUUAAUCGGAAUUACUGGGCGUAAAGCGCGCGUAGGUGGCUUGAUAAGCCGGUUGUGAAAGCCCCGGGCUCAACCUGGGAACGGCAUCCGGGACUGUCAAGCUAGAGUGCAGGAGAGGAAGGUAGAAUUCCCGGUGUAGCGGUGAAAUGCGUAGAGAUCGGGAGGAAUACCAGUGGCGAAGGCGGCCUUCUGGACUGACACUGACACUGAGGUGCGAAAGCGUGGGUAGCAAACAGGAUUAGAUACCCUGGUAGUCCACGCCGUAAACGAUGUCGACCAGCCGUUGGGUGCCUAGCGCACUUUGUGGCGAAGUUAACGCGAUAAGUCGACCGCCUGGGGAGUACGGCCGCAAGGUUAAAACUCAAAUGAAUUGACGGA
rnacentral:rRNA from 1 species